CAAUAAGAGAUGCAGGAAACCAAGUACUUGAGUUUGUUUUUUUAGAGAGUUGAUGGCUGGUGAAAAUCAACAGAACAGCUUAGGGAAAUCCAGUUUCACGAUCUGCGUUUUUCGAAAGAGAAACCGGGUGACGCCGAUAACCGUCGUUCAAGUGCAGCAUUUGCUGAAUUUGGGUGGUACCGCGAAAUUAUACACCGUUUCGUCCCUGUU
rfam:Enterococcus devriesei strain DSM 22802 Scaffold12, whole genome shotgun sequence.